rnacentral:lncRNA from 1 species
AAAGGUCAGGCACCCAUCUGGCCAUAAAAUCGUCCAUAUACAUAGAUCAUAAUCGCAGGUGAUCUGCUUACAUUCAAUAGAGGUGCACCAGAAUGAAACCAAACUCUCUCUCCCCUUUCAAAAAACGGGAAAUAAAUCCUAGAAGCAUGCACCAAUCUCUAAAUUUCCCUUUCAGGAUGCAUUUUAUUCAUGGUGGCCAAAAAAAGUUCAAGAUUUUCAAUAUAUGCAUUUUUUUUUUUCAAUCAAAUCUCGAGCAAAACUUCACAUUAUUUCAACAUUGCACACCGAUCUAGAAAGAAAAGAAUGAAAUCUACCUCCAGCUGCCGCAGAUUUAAUUUUCGUCGCCAUCUCAGGGAAGAUCGCGGAAACCCUAGCAAAAUCGGCAAAAAAAAAGAACAAAUUAAAACCGAAUAGCAAACAUUGAAUAGAUCUAGGGUUUCCAUUCCCAGAGUGGGAAGUGCCCCUACCUCGCACCCGAUCUCUCUUUCUCCCUCCCUUGCUGCCGUCGAAGCCCAAAAAGAUCGAUGUUCUUCUCGAUAAAUAAGCCACCGCUGGAUGGGAACCGGAACAGGGCAUUGGGCGGAGGCAAGCAAACCGGACAAAACCUGACUCUGUUCGACCGGUUAUCGAAUUGGACCGGAGUAGACCGUACGAAGGACGCGGGCACGGGGGAGAGCCGAGCUUAACGGGCCAGGUCGUGG